rnacentral:rRNA from 1 species
UAGGGAAUCUUCCACAAUGGGCGAAAGCCUGAUGGAGCAACGCCGCGUGUGUGAUGAAGGGUUUCGGCUCGUAAAGCACUGUUGUAAGAGAAGAAUGACAUUGAGAGUAACUGUUCAAUGUGUGACGGUAUCUUACCAGAAAGGAACGGCUAAAUACGUGCCCG